rnacentral:rRNA from 1 species
GAUGAACGCUGGCGGCGUGCUUAAUACAUGCAAGUCGAGCGAGCAGACGCGGAGCUUGCUCCUCUGACGUUAGCGGCGGACGGGCGAGCCACCCGUGGAUAACCUACUUACAAGACUGGGAUAACUUCGGGAAAGCGGAGCUUAUACCGGACAAUAUAUUGAAUCGCAUGGUUAAAUAGUGAAAGUCGGUUUUGCUGUCAUUUAUAGAUGGAUCCGCGCAGCAUUAGCUAGUUGGUAAGGUAACGGCUUACCAAGGAAACGAUGCGUAGCCGACCUGAGAGAGUGAUCGGCCACACUGGAAGGGAGACGCGGCCCAGACACCUGCGGGAGGCAGCAGUGGGGAAUCUUCCGCAGUAGUCGAAAGCCUGACGGAGCAGCGCCACGUGAGGGAUGAAGGUCUUCGGAGCGGAAAACUCUGUUAUUAGGGAAGAACAAAUGUGUAAGUAACUAUGCACGGCGUGACGGUACCUAGUCAAAAAGCCACGGCUAACUACGUG